rnacentral:rRNA from 1 species
GUAGGGGGCUAGCGUUGUCCGGAAUCAUUGGGCGUAAAGCGCGCGUAGGCGGCCCGGUAAGUCCGCUCUGAAAGUCCAGGGCUCAACCCUGGAAAGCGGGUGGAUACUGCCGGGCUAGAGUCCGGAAGAGGCGAGUGGAAUUCCUGGUGUAGCGGUGGAAUGCGCAGAUAUCAGGAGGAACACCAACAGCGAAGGCAGCUCGCUGGGACGGUACUGACGCUGAGGCGCGAAAGCGUGGGGAGCGAACAGGAUUAGAUACCCUGGUAGUCCACGCCGUAAACGAUGGGCACUAGGUGUGGGAGGUGUCGACUCCUCCCGUGCCGACGCUAACGCAUUAAGUGCCCCGCCUGGGGAGUACGGCCGCAAGGCUAAA